GUUCAGAUUGGGGCACCUUUUGAAGUAAUUUUUAAAUCUUUCAUAUGCUUCUAGACAGCUCUCGAGGUCCAUUUGCUUAAAAAUAUGGACUUCAUUUCAGAUC
rnacentral:snoRNA from 1 species